GAGGAAAAGAAACUAACAAGGAUUCCCCUAGUAACUGCGAGUGAAGCGGGAAAAGCUCAAAUUUAAAAUCUGGUAGUCUCUGGCUACCCGAAUUGUAAUCUAGAGAAGCGUUAUCCGCGCUGGACCGUGUAUAAGUCUCCUGGAAUGGAGCGUCAUAGAGGGUGAGAAUCCCGUCUUUGACACGGACUACCAGGGCUUUGUGAUGCGCUCUCAAAGAGUCGAGUUGUUUGGGAAUGCAGCUCUAAAUGGGUGGUAAAUUCCAUCUAAAGCUAAAUAUUGGCGAGAGACCGAUAGCGAACAAGUACCGUGAGGGAAAGAUGAAAAGAACUUUGGAAAGAGAGUUAAACAGUACGUGAAAUUGUUGAAAGGGAAACGCUUGAAGUCAGUCGCGUUGACCGGGGAUCAACCUUGCUUAUGCUUGGUGUACUUCCUGAUUAACGGGUCAGCAUCAAUUUUGACCAGUGGAAAAAGUUCGAGGGAAUGUGGCAUCUCCGGAUGUGUUAUAGCCCUUGUUCGUAUACAUUGGUUGGGAUUGAGGAACUCAGCACGCCGCAAGGCCGGGUUUUUAACCACGUUCGUGCUUAGGAUGCUGGCAUAAUGGCUUUAAUCGACCCGUCUUGA
rnacentral:rRNA from 1 species